UAUACUCUACAUCCGCCACUGCCUGUCACCUCCCACCAGCAAUAAGUACCAGAUAGCUCUAUCUAUCAAGGUUUGAAUAAAUACGAAGAAAUCACAGUGUUUUUUGUCUAACGCUGUAAAUUAAAAAUAGCAAUAAAUUUAGAAAUAAUAUUCUUAUAAACUUAGCAGAGAUAGAAUAAAUAAUAAUUUUCUUCUAUAUGCAUAUAAGUUUUAAUUCUUUUAUAUUGAUUAACUAAAAAGGGUAAUAUUCUUACUGAAAUUAGAAUAUUAUUUUUUUGCAUAUGUCAUUAUCAAACCUCUUUUCUAAAAUAAAAAAAAUUAAAAAGAAUUUUUAAGAAACUUUUUCACUUUUAAAUAUAGGUAUGUAUUGUUUACUUAUUCAAAUUGAAGAAACAAAACAUAAAGAAAGCAAAAAUACCAGCUUAUUAUUGGUUAUAUACACUUACAUUCUCCAAUUUCACCCAAAAAAAAAAAAAGUCAAGUGAAGUACAUUGUGCUACUAAAAAAAGAAAUUCACAACACACAAAUGUGUGCUACAGUGACUCAAAUCUCCAACAGAAGGCAAAUAAAAAUAAGAACUCCAUAGUAAGCAAAAAGUUACUACAAUUUUCAGGGUAAACCCAGCCUCUCACGAAAGGCUCAUUAACACGCAUUUUCAUAUCAAUGGCAACAAAGAUUUUUAGCAAAAACACAACUCAGUGUAUAUUAUAAUAUCUUUCUGGACCAUCCUUAACCUUAAGAAAAUAAAUAAUAAUGAAUUAAUAAUGAAAAAUAGUUUCUAGUAAGCUAAAAUUCAGAGGUCAUAAAGGUGUUCCAAUAAAUCAUUCUCGACAAAAUAAUUGUUUUUUCAAUUGGACAACUAUUCUAGGUUUGAUUUGCUUAUGUUUCCAUAGAAAAAUUGCAAGCUAACAUAUGUCAAAUUAGAAAUUGGAAUAGCUAUGUAUAUAUUGCACAAAGGAGUAAAAAAUAUGUUAAAAAUAUCUAUCUUAUAUAGUUUACCUUUUAGAUGAAGAUUUUUCACCAAAAUGUGGAUAAGCCUCGUCUGCGUACUCUCAUCAUCCAAAAUAUAAUAUUUUCUUCAAACAACACCUUCACCUAGACAAAAACAAAUUUACAAUACUAUUAAUAAGUUGCCAUGAGAGGCCAAACGAUGAGGUGACAGAAAUUAAGAAAGAUAAAGAUUUUUAAAUCAAGAAAAUAAAAUAUGUUAAGAAGAAGUAAAAAAUGUUAGAAUCGGAAAGCCAAAAG
rnacentral:lncRNA from 1 species